GAUGAACGCUGGCGGCGUGCCUAAUACAUGCAAGUCGAGCGAACGGACGAGAAGCUUGCUUCUCUGAUGUUAGCGGCGGACGGGUGAGUAACACGUGGAUAACCUGCCUUUAAGACUGGGAUCACUUCGGGAAACCGGAGCUAAUACCGGAUAAUAUUUUGAACCGCAUGGUUCAACAGUGAAAGACGGUCUUGCUGUCACUUAUAGAUGGAUCCGCGCUGCAUUAGUUAGUUGGUAAGGUAACGGCUUACCAAGGCAACGAUGCAUAGCCGACCUGAGAGGGUGAUCGGCCACACUGGAACUGAGACACGGUCCAGACUCCUACGGGAGGCAGCAGUAGGGAAUCUUCCGCAAUGGGCGAAAGCCUGACGGAGCAACGCCGCGUGAGUGAUGAAGGUCUUCGGAUCGUAAAACUCUGUUAUUAGGGAAGAACAUAUGUGUAAGUAACUGUGCACAUCUUGACGGUACCUAAUCAGAAAGCCACGGCUAACUACGUG
rnacentral:rRNA from 1 species